UGCCCGGUGAACCAGUCGUUGAAAAAGGACUGCUCGAUGUUGCAAGUGGCUGCCAGCUGUGAAGGCAAGAAAGCAGCAGUGAAUAUUAGUGAAGCCUCGCCCUGAAAUCAGCACAAAGCUCCUCUUCUCUGUGCCAGGUCCUGAAAUUUGGAAUUGUCCUCAAACCUGUAUUGGAGGAGAGAUAGAGAGCAAAAGGUGGAAGAUACACUCUGGAAAAUACCACGUGAUACUUACAUCUGACCUCUCAGUUUGGUGGUCUAUUGUCCAGCUCGCGUAACUACGCCCUGGAGAGGGGGAGACUGGGGACACUUGGAUUACGAAGCGUCGAAAGACAGCACAGGCAAGAAACAAAGACAAGCAGCAAGGCUUAAGCAGAGCCGAGCAGUUUUUACCACCCCACUCUUCCAGAUGUUAUUGCCCAUGGCUGCAGGGAGCUGGCUGCCCAGGCGUCGCAUGGAUGCGCGCCCAGCGCUUUGCUCCUCGGUGCUAGAGCAGAGCUGAGCUGCAGGUGGUAGAGAGCUGGGGGAGAGGGAGGCUGUGCAAAAAAUAACAAUAAUAAUCUCGUUCUCAGUAACCCUGAGGAUGGCAGCGACCUGUCAGAGGCUGCUGGCGAAGCCUGGGGGCAGCCCCGCGUGUGUCCGUGCGCUCCUUACCGUGGCAUCUUCCCCGGCGCAGUGGCUGAUGACUCGGUGGCCCCCCGGGUGCCUGUGAGCCCACUGGGUGACAUUGUACACCUUGCGCUCUAUCACCAGCCACUUGUCCGUCCUCAGGUUGUGCUUCUGGAUCUCCUCCCAGGUGUAGAGGGGGAUCUGCG